rnacentral:rRNA from 1 species
GACGGAAGGUGCAAGCGUUGCUCGGAAUUACUGGGCGUAAAGCGCAUGUAGGCGGCUCGGAAAGUCGGAUGUGAAAGCCCAGGGCUCAACCCUGGAAGUGCACUCGAAACUCCCGAGCUGGAGUCCCGGAGAGGAAGGCGGAAUUCUCGGUGUAGAGGUGAAAUUCGUAGAUAUCGAGAGGAACACCUGUGGCGAAGGCGGCCUUCUGGACGGUGACUGACGCUGAGAUGCGAAAGCGUGGGGAGCAAACAGG